UUUUAUGGAGAGUUUGAUCCUGGCUCAGGAUGAACGCUGGCGGCGUGCCUAAUACAUGCAAGUCGAGCGAACGGACGAGAAGCUUGCUUCUCUGAUGUUAGCGGCGGACGGGUGAGUAACACGUGGAUAACCUACCUAUAAGACUGGGAUAACUUCGGGAAACCGGAGCUAAUACCGGAUAAUAUUUUGAACCGCAUGGUUCAAAAGUGAAAGACGGUCUUGCUGUCACUUAUAGAUGGAUCCGCGCUGCAUUAGCUAGUUGGUAAGGUAACGGCUUACCAAGGCAACGAUGCAUAGCCGACCUGAGAGGGUGAUCGGCCACACUGGAACUGAGACACGGUCCAGACUCCUACGGGAGGCAGCAGUAGGGAAUCUUCCGCAA
rnacentral:rRNA from 1 species